rnacentral:lncRNA from 1 species
CAAAACCGUGCGAGUACGCCCAUCGCCCAAAGUGGACAAUUCCUCGCAAGCCUACGGGCCGCACCAAUGGUCAGCCAACCAAAUUGUCCCUUAUCAGAUUGGCACUAGAAGGAGGGCUCAAGGCCUGCACCUCGGUCGAGCAAACUCGCUUCCGAGCCGUGCACCUUGGCUAUGACCCCUUAGCUCUCUUACAGGAGGGAGCACUGAUAAGGCCAUUUAGUCCCACAUUGGUUGAGGAGUAUGGGAACCAAGGGCUCAUAAGUCCGACAGGUCUUCCUUACCCUCAAAGGCACCUUUUGCAGCUCACAUGCUCCGAAAAGGACAAAACCGUGCGGGUACGCCCAUCACCCAAAGCGGAUAAUUCCUCGCGAGCUUACGGGCCGCACCAAUGGUCGGCCGACCAAAUUGUCCCUUAUCAUAUUGGCGCUAAAAGGAGGGCCCAAAGCCUAUACCUUGGCCGAUCAAACUCAAUCCUGAGUUGUAUACCUUGGCUCUGAGCCCUUAGCUCCCCUACGGGAGGGAGCACUAAUAAGGCCAUUUAGUCUCACAUUGGUUGAGGGGUAUGGGAACUGAUAUUUUUUCUUUUAUUAUUGUGUGGCAUAAUUUUCAUCUUGGAUAGUGAGCUUUGAAAAAAUGUAGGAUCUUUGAUUGUAUGCCUUAAGCAUCUACUAUCUUUUACUCUAGCUUUUGUUUACAGACAUAUGUACAAGAAAGAGUGUUGGUUUAGGUAUCUAUUUAACUUUUGGUCUUUCAUGUUUAGCAUUAUCUUUGCUUCCUUUUAGGUUUAAAUUAUUUAUGGUUCUUUUUUAAUACCCAAAUUAAUUUAUAAUGGUCAUUCUUACUAAGGGAGCAUGUGUAAGCAUGAUGGUCAAUUUUUUUACAAAAAUUAUAUUUAAUUUUAGAUUUAUGGUCAUGCAAUGUGAGUCCUUUGACAAAUUUGGUUGGCUUAGCUUACGAUGAAUGUUACUCUUUGUAGUACUAAUAUCUUAGAAAAUAUAUAACCUUCUUUAGCAAGAAUAAUAUCAAGAAACUUAUUUUUUACUUUAAAUUUUUCUAAGAUAUGUCAUAAAAGCAUGUUUUCCUUUUUUAGUGAUUCUAUUACAUCAUCACUAUCAAGUGAAGUCUUUCAAGUAAUUUUAUAGUUUUUUAUUUAUUCUUUUUUUGUAUUUUUCAAACAUACAAGAUGGUGACAUACAUUUCUUCUGAGCAUUUUUCAAUGUAUCAAACUCAUUAGUGUUCAUUUCCAAUGAAUUAUAUUUUUGACCAAUCUUUUUAAGUCCAUCAUGUAAUUCAUAGAAUGUUUAAGUAAUUCUUAUGUGAUAAAGAUGUUUCAAGAGAGUUAAAUAUCUCAUUGUUGAAAG